GUGUCAGCAGCCGCGGUAAUACGGAGGGUGCGAGCGUUAAUCGGAAUUACUGGGCGUAAAGCGCAUGCAGGUGGUUUGUUAAGUCAGAUGUGAAAGCCCGGGGCUCAACCUCGGAAUUGCAUUUGAAACUGGCAGACUAGAGUCUUGUAGAGGGGGGUAGAAUUUCAGGUGUAGCGGCGAAAUGCGUAGAGAUCUGAAGGAAUACCAGUGGCGAAGGCGGCCCCCUGGACAAAGACUGACGCUCAGAUGCGAAAGCGUGGGGAGCAAACAGGAUUAGAAACCCCCGUAGUCC
rnacentral:rRNA from 1 species